rnacentral:rRNA from 1 species
GACCCCUUAUCGGGGUUGCGGACAGUGCCUGGUGGGUAGUUUGACUGGGGCGGUCUCCUCCCAAAGAGUAACGGAGGAGCACGAAGGUGGGCUAAUCACGGUUGGACAUCGUGAGGUUAGUGCAAUGGCAUAAGCCCGCUUGACUGCGAGAAUGACAAUUCGAGCAGGUGCGAAAGCAGGUCAUAGUGAUCCGGUGGUUCUGAAUGGAAGGGCCAUCGCUCAACGGAUAAAAGGUACUCCGGGGAUAACAGGCUGAUACCGCCCAAGAGUUCAUAUCGACGGCGGUGUUUGGCACCUCGAUGUCGGCUCAUCACAUCCUGGGGCUGAAGUCGGUCCCAAGGGUAUGGCUGUUCGCCAUUUAAAGUGGUACGCGAGCUGGGUUUAGAACGUCGUGAGACAGUUCGGUCCCUAUCUGCCGUGGGCGUUGGAAGAUUGAAGGGGGCUGCUCCUAGUACGAGAGGACCGGAGUGGACGAACCUCUGGUGUUCGGGUUGUGUCGCCAGACGCAUUGCCCGGUAGCUAAGUUCGGAAUCGAUAACCGCUGAAAGCAUCUAAGCGGGAAGCGAGCCCUGAGAUGAGUCUUCCCUGAUACUUUAAGUAUCCUAAAGGGUUGUCGGAGACUACGACGUUGAUAGGUCAGGUGUGUAAGUGCUGUGAGGCAUUGAGCUAACUGAUACUAAUUGCCCGUGAGGCUUAACCAUACAACACCCAAGGGGUUU